ACGGACCACUCGUACAUUUCGAUUCUGAGCGCGCCCUCCGCUCCCACCUGACGACCGCCAGCUUUCUUGUGUUGGCC
rnacentral:sRNA from 1 species